rnacentral:rRNA from 1 species
AUUGAACGCUGGCGGCAGGCCUAACACAUGCAAGUCGAACGAGUGGCGGACGGGUGAGUAAUGUUUGGGAAACUGCCUGAUGGAGGGGGAUAACUACUGGAAACUGUAGCUAAUACCGCAUACCAUCGGAUGUUCCCAGAUGGGCUUAGCUAGUAGGUGGGGUAAAGGCUCACCUAGGCGACGAUCCCUAGCUGGUCUGAGAGGAUGACCAGCCACACUGGAACUGAGACACGGUCCAGACUCCUACGGGAGGCAGCAGUGGGGAAUAUUGCGCAAUGGGCGCAAGCCUGAUGCAGCCAUGCCGGGUGAAUGAAGAAGGCCUUCGGGUUGUAAAGUACUUUCGGCAGAGAGGCGUUACCGACAGAAGAAGCAACGGCUAACUCCGUGCCAGCAGCCGCGGUAAUAC